rnacentral:rRNA from 1 species
UGAGCAACCUGCCCCUGGCUCUGGGAUAACCCCGGGAAACCGGAGCUAAUACCGGAUACGAGACCGAUUGGCAUCUAUACGGUCUGGAAAGUUUUUCGGCCAGGGAUGGGCUCGCGGCCUAUCAGCUUGUUGGUGGGGUAAUGGCCCACCAAGGCGACGACUGGUAGCCGGCCUGAGAGGGCGGUCGGCCACACUGGGACUGAGACACGGCCCAGACUCCGUACGGGAGGCA